GAUCAAAAUCCCCAGAUCGCCUCCAUUCCCCAUCUGGCCUGGCACAUCUCUCUCUCCCUCACCCCUCCUUCUCCAACUCCGGCCGCCGCCACGGCCAUGCCGACGUGGUGGUGCGCCUCCGUCACCCAUCCAUCCACCAGCAUACCCACAACCAGCAGCCCCCAUCCACCACUCCACUAGCGCCACCAUCUCCAGCCACUGCUGCCAUCAGCACUAAGCGCCUCUCUCCUCCUUGCUGCCCCGAUCUUGCUCCACUUCUCUCUCAACAUCCCCUGCUGCUGCUCCUUCUUCCACGCAACCUCCUGCUGCUCCUUCUUCCUAUGCGCCCCUGCUGCUCUUCUUGCGCCCAAGCUACUACUCCUUCUUUUCCUUUGUUGCUGCUCUCUCAACCCUCCACGCUGCUGCUGCUCUGAACUCCAACCUCCUAUUGUCUCUCUCUCUCUCUCUAAACCCCGUCGCUGCUGCUCCUCCCCUCGUCCCUACUGCUCCUCCUCCUCCGCUCAACUUCUCCAACUUGCUGCUACUGCUUCUCUCUCUCUCUCUGUAUCUCUCUCCCUCUGAAAUUUCUAUAAAAUUAAGAUGUUUAAGACUUUGUAAGGUUCAGAUUUUAAGAGUUCUUGAAACCUGCUCCAUGUCUCAUGGCUCUGUUGAUUAGUACUCUACUGGCAUAUGUGUAUGUUUAGCCCUGUGCAUUUGUUUCUUGCCACCUACUGUAAUCUGUCCCGUACUAGUAACUUUACUCCAGUUUACUUGAUGUUCAGGUUUUAGUCUCUGUACUAGCUAUGUACCAGUGACAUUUAUGCUUGUGAUUUUCCAGUGAAUGUGUUUAAUUUCAGUCCAUAUGUUAGCUCAAGUACCUGUUCUAUAUAAAUAUGUGUGUGUGUGUGUGUGUUUGUCUAUUUUAUGCCCUGUAAUUUUGUUUCUUGCCUCUGUCUUACGCUUGUUAGAUAAACAUAUGUGUUCUAGUAUUGUUGUUUUCCUCUGGUCAUUUUUGUAUGCUUGUGUCAGUGUUUACUUUUUCAAGUAAAACGAUAAUACCAAAAAGACAGAGAGUACAAUCUAAACUUCCCUUUGGUUCUUUUCAUUUUUUUACUGACGAUUUUCUGGAACAGUCUUAGAUUGUUUAGGUUUAUUUUCAUGCAAUGAUAAUCUGAACCGCGUUACCUAGCAUUAGCUGAGUAUAGUUGCCGUCGCCUAGUCCCUGUGGAGAACACAACACUCGCAGUUUGGGCGUAAAUAUUCCGCUGUACUUUCAAUUGAUCAUUUUGGCCCUGUUGCCGGGGACUAGCGUCGAACGAUUGUGUGAAGCUAUAGACUAGGCUUAGUAUAGUUUUUGUUUAAAUUUCCAGUCAAAUUUAUUUCGGUGCUUCUUUUACCUUUUUACUUUUUGUUGCUUCGUCUUAUUAGGAUACUAACUUUCUGACUAGUGUUUACUGUUUAUGAGUGUGCGUAGGAAAUCUGAACUAAUUGCAGGUUGUUCUAUAGUUACACUCGGUUAAGAUAGCAUUGCUUCGUGAUCUUUGGAUGCCCAAAAGUCAGUGCUAUAUCACAGGACCGAUUUGGCCAACUAUUGAGGCAGAGAACUUCGAGCUAAAACCUAGUCUUAUUGCUUUGGUUCAACAACAAUAGUUUGGAGGACUUCCUACUGAAGACCCUUAUGAGCACUUGCUUCGAGUCAUGGAGUAUUCAGAUACAGUAAAGUAUCAUGGAGUUCCUCAAGAUGUUAUCAAGUGCAUGUUGUGCACAUUCUCUCUCCGAGAUGAUGCUCGUGCUUGGUAUCGAUCCUUGCCAUCAAGAUCAUUCGGUUGGAAUGAGAUAUCACGAGCUUUCUUGGAUAAAUAUUUCCCAUUACACAAGCAGUCCGCAAUUCGAGAUGAGAUCUUCAAUUUCAUUCAGCGUGAAGGCGAGAGCUUGUAUGAUGCUUGGGAGAGAUACAUAGCCUUAUUCAGGAGAUGUCCUAAUCAUGGGAUCGAUAGAUGGUUAGAGCUGCAGAUAUUCUAUAGAGGAUUGACUUCGGACACUCGAGCUUACGUCGAUAUGGCAGCGGUGGAGCUAUUACAAACAAGACACUUGAUGAAGCUUUUAUGCUGAUUGAGAACAUAACUUUCCACCAACUUCAGUGGUACAAUAAGAAGCCCACGUCUGAUUCAUUGGUUUGCUUGCAACAAAUCACUACACCUCAGCCACCAAUUCUUACACAGAAGCCUGAACCUCAAUCUCAGUGUGACAAGAUUGAGCUUGCAUGGAUUAUCUUUGACGAUGAUGACACCAUUCUAGUUGACACACAUGCUAUAGAUCAUAUGGAUACUAGUGUUGGAGAUUCAGUUUUGCAUUGUGAUGAUUCUUCCAUGGAUGAGCCAGAGCUGUAGUUAGUUGCUUUUGAUAUUGAGGAGUCACCUUUAGUUGAUAUUGAUCAUGUGCUGCUAGAGCCAGAUAUGGAGAAGUUCACCUUCGAUGAUGUUAGCCGCAUUGAUUCCUCAGCACUUGAGCCUGAGAUGGAGAGCUUCAUGGUUAAUUAUGAUGAGGUGGAUUCAGAUGUCAAGGAGCCAAUCUCUACUAUUUCACUUGUUGACACGAGUCCGGUGAAAAUUUCUACUACCACAUCUCACUUGGUAUCUUCAAUUGAGGUAGUCCUGAAGCCUCUUCCUAACUAUUUCAGGUUUAUGCUUGUGCACCAUUCACUGCGGGCUGCCCAAGUUCGAGAUGACAUCCCAUGGGAUUCUGGUGGAUUCACGGCAUGGUGAUGAGGAGAAGCAAUGAGCACACAUGACAAAGAGGGAAGCUGGAGCGUCCAUGAGGAAGCAAAGGAGAAGACCUGCAGUUGGUGGGAUGAUCGAGCGAGUGCUACAUCAAAGCCCGGUGAGCUGUUUCAUGACCCCAAUAUUAAUAUAUCAUCCAUUGAUACAUGCUGAAAUCAUUUGAUAUUUGGGUUGCUUGAGCCAUUUCUUAAAUGCUGUCCCACUGAAUUUUACCUUUGACAUAUGGUGCUUGAUGUGAAUAUGUGAACUGAUUUCUGAAUGCCUUGUAAACUAGUGAUCUAUACAAUGAUUGCUUUGCUGAAAUUAGUGAGAACUAUUAGUUUUGAGUGCUCAAAUCCCUAGUGCACUAGUAAACUUAAUCAUUUUCUGCAUUUACCUUGAUACACCUAGAUCACUAUGUUUAGAUGAUGUAUUUGUGCCAAGUGUGUUCCCAUUCAGAGCAAUCACUUUACCACUAUGGACUAGCAUGCUAUGUUCCCUGGAUCGGUAGCAUGUGAACCAAACAUGGUUGAGUGAUGAUUCUUAUUUUUGUUCAAAAAAUUUAUAUCUUAUAAUGAAUAAUAAGUCUGACUACCUACAGUAGCAUGUCAUGUUCCCUGGAUCGGUGGCAUGUGAAAUCGGGUUAGCUUGGGUAGUAAUUAAUAAGUAAAUAUGUAAUUGUCCAACCGGGUGUACCAUGUUCUCUGGAUCGGUGGUAUGUUCCUUUAGGGAGACAAACAAUUUUUUAAUAAUAAUUGGUUGAGCCAGGUGUAUACCAUGUUCUCGAGAUCAGUGGUAUGUUCCUUCUGUGAGACUAAUAAAAUAAUAUGUGUGUUUCUUUCAAAUUCAAUAAGUGGUUCAACCACAAUGUUAUAUCUCUGUAAAUAAGUGAUUUGAUCACAAGAUUUAAUUCUAGUUCAUUUUGUUCUUGGGAUCAUGCUCUCUUUAGGAACCAUUUGUCACAGUCAAUCACUUAAACUUGUUGAUCCUCUUUUAUCAUUGUAAAAGUUUAAAAUGGUCAUGCUUACUAGUAUCCUACUGCUUUGUAGCACUCUUAACCAUUAAUUUUUCACUAGCUAAGUCUGAAGCAUGCCUUGUUUGGAGAUCUAUAUUACCAGGACAUUCUUUACUCAGUUCAUUGUUCACAUUCUUGCUCUUGUCAUAUGCCUUUGCUUGAGGACAAGCAAAGAUUUAAGUGUGGGGGAAUUUGAUAAGUAUAUUUCACAUAUAUAAUUUUGGUACUCAAAUAUAGCAUCUAUUGUGAUAUAUUCGUCCAUUCUCACCAUGAUUGAUUGAAUAUUGCUUGAUAACCAUAAAAGAGGAUCAUUUACUAGUCUUUGGUUUAUUUUGCAGAAAUGUGCGCAAAGGCACUAUAACCGUCAAGAUUCCGUCUAGGUGGCUAUCAAGAAGAGUGAAGAAAAGAAGAGAAGGAAGAAGAGACUUGUGUGAGAUCAAAAGAAGUAACCAGGGAGCUAGCUAAAGAAGUGGGAGGACCUUCUUGUGAAGAAAGAAGAGAAGGAGGAGGGCUAAUGUGUAAAGUUUGCAGAUCAGGGAGGGGAUCAAAAUCCCCAGAUCGCAUCCAUUCCCCAUCGGGCCUGGCACAUCUCUCUCUCUCCCUCACCCCUCCUUCUCCAACUCCGAUCGCUGCCAUGGCCAGGCCUACGUGGUGGUGCACCUCCGUCACCCAUCCAUCCACCAGCAUACCCACAACCAGCAGCCCCCAUCCACCACUGCACUAGCGCCACCAUCUCCAGCCACUACCGCCAUCAGCACCAAGCGCCUCUCUCCUCCUUGCUGCCCCGAUCUUGCUCCUCUUCUCUCUCAACGUCCCCUGCUGCUGCUCCUUCUUCCACGCAACCUCCUGCUGCUCCUUCUUCCUAUGCGCCCCUGCUGCUCUUCUUGCGCCCAAGCUACUGCUCCUAUUUCUUUUCCUUUGCUGCUGCUCUCUCAACCCUCCAUGAUGCUGCUGCUCUGAACUCUAACCUUCUGCUAUAUAUAUCUCUCUCUCUCUGAACCCCGUCGCUGCUGCUCCUCCCCUCGUCCCUACUACUGCUCCUCCUCCGCUCAACUUCUCCAACUUGCUGCUGCUUCUCUCUCUCUCUCUCUCUCUCUCUGUGUGUGUGUGUGUAUCUCUCUCUGAAAUUUCUAUAAAAUUAAGAUAUUUAAGACUUUGUUAGGUUCAGAUUUUAAGAGUUCUUGAAACCUGCUCCAUGUCUCAUGGCUCUGUUGAUUAGUACUCUGCUGGCGUAUGUGUAUGUUUAGCCUUGUGCAUUUGUUUCUUGCCAUCUACUGUAAUCUGUCCCGUACUAGUAACUUUACUCCAGUUUAUUUGAUGUUCAGUUUUUAGUCUAUGUACUAGCUAUGUACCAGUGACAUUUAUGCUUGUGAUUUUCCAGUGAAUGUGUUUAAUUUCAGUCCAUAUGUUAGCUCAA